rnacentral:rRNA from 1 species
AUUGAACGCUGGCGGCAGGCCUAACACAUGCAAGUCGAACGGUAACAGGGAUCAGCUUGCUGAUUUGCUGACGAGUGGCGGACGGGUGAGUAAUGUCUGUGAAACUGCCUGAUGGAGGGGGAUAACUACUGGAAACGGUAGCUAAUACCGCAUAACGUCACAAAACCAAAGAGGGGGACCUUCGGGCCUCUUGCCAUCGGAUGUGCCCAGAUGGGAUUAGCUAGUAGGUGGGGUAACGGCUCACCUAGGCGACGAUCCCUAGCUGGUCUGAGAGGAUGACCAGCCACACUGGAACUGAGACACGGUCCAGACUCCUACGGGAGGCAGCAGUGGGGAAUAUUGCACAAUGGGCGCAAGCCUGAUGCAGCCAUGCCGCGUGUAUGAAGAAGGCCUUCGGGUUGUAAAGUACUUUCAGCGGGGAGGAAGGGAGUAAAGUUAAUACCUUUGCGCAUUGACGUUACCCGCAGAAGAAGCACCGGCUAACUCCGUG